UCCAUGAGGACAAAAGCUCCUGUGCUUGGGAGCCACUCAGAUCUUGUCCCAUGUAUCUCUUCAUCUGGCUGUCCACCUGGAUCCUUUACCAUAUGCUUUUACAGACUGGUCAGUGUGUUGCUAACUGUGCUAAAUUUAUAUGAAUAAAAUGAAUCCACCCUCAAAUACAUCACAACCAGUGGAGAAGACAUGACACUGUAAACAUCCCCCCAAAAAAGGAGGAAGAUGGUGAAUCGACAUACCUCAUGAUUUUUUCAUGAUGACUACAGAGAUCAUUUGGACGGAAUCAUGUUUUGUUGUUAUUGUUAUUACUGUUGACAAAAACAUCCAGGUGCAGUAAGAGCAGGAAGACAUCUUUGAAUUUCAGGACUCACUUGGUGAAUGCCAUUAGGGCAUAAACUAAUAUUCAGAUCCUAGA